rnacentral:rRNA from 1 species
AACGAACGCUGGCGGCAUGCCUAACACAUGCCAGUCGAACGAGACCUUCGGGUCUAGUGGCGCACGGGUGCGUAACGCGUGGGAACCUGCCCUUAGGUUCGGAAUAACUCCCCGUAAGGGGUGCUAAUACCGGAUAAUGUCUUCGGACCAAAGAUUUAUCGACUUUGGAUGGGCCCGCGUUGGAUUAGCUAGUUGGUAGGGUAAAAGCCUACCAAGGCGACGAUCCAUAGCUGGUCUGAGAGGAUGAUCAGCCACACUGGGACUGAGACACGGCCCAGACUCCUACGGGAGGCAGCAGUGGGGAAUAUUGGACAAUGGGCGGAAGCCUGAUCCAGCAAUGCCGCGUGAGUGAUGAAGGCCUUAGGGUUGUAAAGCUCUUUUACCCGGGAUGAUAAUGACAGUACCGGGAGAAUAAGCGCCGGCUAACUCCGUG